AGCGAACGCUGGCGGCAGGCCUAACACAUGCAAGUCGAACGAACCUUUCGGGGUUAGUGGCGGACGGGUGAGUAACACGUGGGAACGUGCCUUUAGGUUCGGAAUAACUCAGGGAAACUUGUGCUAAUACCGAAUGUGCCCUUCGGGGGAAAGAUUAAUCGCCUUUAGAGCGGCCCACGUCUGAUUAGCUAGUUGGUUGAGGUAAUGGCUCACCAAGGCGACGAUCAGUAGCUGGUCUGAGAGGAUGAUCAGCCACAUUGGGACUGAGACACGGCCCAAACUCCUACGGGAAGCAGCAGUGGGGAAUCUUGCGCAAUGGGCGAAAGCCUGACGCAGCCAUGCCGCGUGAAUGAUGAAGGUCUUAGGAUUGUAAAAUUCUUUCACCGGGGACGAUAAUGACGGUACCCGGAGAAGAAGCCCCGGCUAACUUCGUG
rnacentral:rRNA from 1 species